GAUUAAGCCAUGCAUGUGUAAGUUUAUCUUGAAAAAGAGAAACCGCGAAUGGCUCAUUAAAUCAGUUAUAAUCUAUUGGUUAAGUAACACCAUUAUAUGAAUAACCACGGUAACCCCGUGGCUAAUGCAUGAAGAUAGUCCUACUACGAGAUAGGAUAGCUUUAUAAGAUGAUACGCCGGGCGGGUGUGAAAUACAAACCAGCAUGAACGGUGAACCAUUAUAACUGAAGGAGGUCAGAUAGGGCGUGCCCUUGGACCCAUAACCUUCGAGUUUCUGAUCUAUCAACCUAUGACGGUAGUGUAACGGACUACCGUGGUUGUGACGGAUAACGGGGAAUCAGGGUUCGAUUCCGGAGAGGGAGCCUGAGAAACGGCUACCACAUCUAAGGAAGGCAGCAGGCACGCAAAUUACCCAAUCUUCGCUCGAGGAGGUAGUGACGAGAAAUAACAAUAUGAACCUUAAUGGUUUGUAAUUGGAAUGGAACGGGAGUAACAACUCCGUUGAUGAACGAGUGGAGGGCAAGUCUGGUGCCAGCAGCCGCGGUAAUACCAGCCUCCACAAGCGUAUGCAAAAGUUGCUGCGUUUAAAAAGCUCAUAGUUGGGUCUGUUUGAGCGUUACGGCACAUCUGGACACUGCCUGCGGCGUAGUUGUACCAGCGUAAUUCUCAUCCUUCGCAUCGAGGAAACAGUUUGCACUUCAUUGUGUUGAACUGUGGAAACGGUGUUUUCACUUUGAGUAAAUUAGAGUGUUCAAAGCGUCCUUUGGGAUUGAAUAAUAAAGCAUGGAAUAAAGGAGAAUGACCCGCUUUUCCGAAAGCCGGUGGCUGAAAUGUGGUAAUGAUUAAAAGGAACAGCCGGGGGCAUUUGUAUUGCUACGUUAGAGGUGAAAUUCUUGGAUCGUGGCAAGACAAACUACUGCGAAAGCAUUUGCCUAGAAUGUUUUCAUUAAUCAAGAACGAAAGUUAGAGUAUUGAAGAGGAUUAGAUACCCUCGUAAUUCUAACCAUAAACUAUACCAACUUACGAUUUGUCAAAGUCCUAUUUGACUUGGCAAGAAAUUAACCGGGAAACCAAAGUUUAUUGGUUCCGGGGGAAGUAUGGUUGCAAAAUCGAAACUUAAAGGAAUUGACGGAAGGGCACCACCAGGAGUGGAGCCUGCGGCUUAAUUUGACUCAACACGGGAAAACUCACCAGGUCCAGACAUCUUAAGGAUUGACAGAUUGAAUAUCUUUCACGAUUAUAUGGGCGGUGGUGCAUGGCCGUUCUUAGUUAGUGGAGUGAUCUGUCUGGUUAAUUCCGAUAACGAACGAGAUCUCCACCAUCUUAAUAGUGGUGGUCACUACGGUGGCACAGUUACUUCUUAGAGGUACAAUGCGGAAUAUAAUACCGCAAGUGAAGUGAGGCUAUAACAGGUCUGUGAUGCCCUUAGAUGUCCUGGACUGCACGCGCGCUACACUGUACACUACAAAAUGUGUGCGGUACCUUGACUGACACAGUCUUGGGAACCACACAAAAGUGUUAAACUCAAAGGGGAUUGUCUAUUGUAACUUUUAGACAUGAACCAGGAAUUCCUCGUAAUCUCUGGUCACCAACCAGAAAUGAAUAUGUCCCUGCCCUUUGUACACACCGCCCGUCGCUACUACUGAUUGGAUGGUUAAGCAAGAACCGCCGAAACCUGUGCCUAAUAAGGUUUGUCCAUUUUAAAUAAUGGUAAGCUAGUCCUGGCAACGGGUGGAAGCAGAUCGAGCUUAUCUGUCUAGAGGAAGUAAACCC
rnacentral:rRNA from 1 species